AAAACUGAGACUCUCUGGGACCCAGAGGGACUAGAAAAAUAUACCCUGUAAAGAGAGCUAACUUUAGACUCAGGAACCUGGCUCCAUUUCAGGCCCCAGAGUUGAGUCUUCUGUGAUCCCAGUAAGGAAGAAGAAUGGAGAAACUCCUGGGAGUGUCUUUGGUGAUUCUAUGGCUUCAACUGGCCAGAGUCAACAGCCAAAAAGUAGAACAGAAUCUUCAGGCCCUGAGCAUCCGGGAGGGUGAAAAUGUCACCAUGAACUGCAGUUAUGAAACUACUAUAACCAAUUUACAGUGGUAUAGACAAGAUGCAGGUAGAGGCCUUGCUCUACUGAUUUUAAUACGUUCACAUGAGAAACUCAAACCUGGUGGAAGACUACAAGUCACGCUUGACUCCUCCAGCAAAAGCAGCUCCCUGUCCAUCACGGCUUCCCGGGCUGCAGACACUGCUACUUACUUCUGUGCUGUGGAGGCACAGUGUUCACCAGGCACCUGCAGCCCCUACACAAACUCUGCCAGAGCUGCCUCUUAG